GUGACAUUAAAGGCAGGGACUGGAGCAAUGUAACUGCAAGCCAAGGAAUGCCGAAUUUGGAUAGCCACCAUCAUGAACUAGGACGAGGCAUGAAGGAUUCCACCCAGAGCCUCACAUUUGUAAGAGUGCAUUUCUGUGGUUUUAAGCCACUCAGUGUGUGGUUGCAGCAGCCCUAGGAAGCCAGUAAAGUUGCUUCCGGCUUCAAAUCCAGCAAGACAAGGAAGGCAAAUGCCCAUUAGAGUAAUAUUACGCUGAGCAUUAGGGGCUUGAGCAAGAGUGGCUUCGCUGAAGAUAAGGCUGAGCCAGGACGGAGUGAGUGGAACAGUGAACAAAGACAGGUGAGCAAGUGGAGGCUGUCUCUGUAGAGCAGAGGUCCCCAAACUUUGUGUGCUCACAUCAGCUCUAAGAAGACCUGGGAGCUGUGUGUCCCAACACAGUUGGGACUCUCCAUAUCGUCUAACCUCCAGGACUUACAAAACCUGCUGCUGUUGCUGGCUAAGGCUGUGUGCUACAGGUAAUUACCAUUUUACAGCUGAAGAAACUGGGACUUGGGUCAAAUGAUUUUCUAAAAUACCACACUGUCCCUGACCCAGUUUAUCACCUGUGCAGAUUCACCUAGCCUUGCCUGCGUCCAGGGAUGUGACAUCUCACUCAGUGGAGAGACCGCUCCCCUGUGAGCCUGGAGGGGCAGGGGGUGCUGGUCUUUGGCAUGGCCUCCAUCAUGCCUCUGAGGGAAGAGCUGCUCCUUUGUGAUGCUCAACCUGGCUUAGCAGCCAUCAGCUCCUGUCCUUAACCUCAAAAUCUCUGAUGAGUGCCACAUAGGCAAGUCAACACAUUUUUGUUAAAUGCAUGAAAGGAAGAAUGAGUAUUGUUAUGUACCAGAAACGGUAUUGGAGAAGUGACUUGACAUGAGCCUGUAUUGAUGCCACCAUGCAACUUCUUCGGACAUUCAAAGGACUUGUUAAAAGCCCUGUGGCAUUUGCAAAACGCUAGUUCAUUCAGAAUACUCCGAGGUGCUUGAGAGCAUUGACUCUAGGCAAUACAGCAAAGAUGAAGAUGUUGCCUUCUAAGCUCCUCUCAUCCAUUUCUGUGUGACCACCUCCCCUUUGGCAUCUUUUCUUUUCCUCUAGGGGACUUUUGGCUCCACCUGCUCAUAUCCUCAU
rnacentral:lncRNA from 10 species